rnacentral:rRNA from 1 species
UCGAACGGNAGCACGGGUGCUUCACCUGGUGGCGAGUGGCGAACGGGUGAGUAAUACAUCGGAACAUGUCCUGUAGUGGGGGAUAGCCCGGCGAAAGCCGGAUUAAUACCGCAUACGAUCCACGGAUGAAAGCGGGGGACCUUCGGGCCUCGCGCUAUAGGGUUGGCCGAUGGCUGAUUAGCUAGUUGGUGGGGUAAAGGCCCACCAAGGCGACGAUCAGUAGCUGGUCUGAGAGGACGACCAGCCACACUGGGACUGAGACACGGCCCAG